UUGAACGCUGGCGGCAGGCCUAACACAUGCAAGUCGAGCGGUAGCACAGAGAGCUUGCUCUCGGGUGACGAGCGGCGGACGGGUGAGUAAUGUCUGGGAAACUGCCUGAUGGAGGGGGAUAACUACUGGAAACGGUAGCUAAUACCGCAUAACGUCGCAAGACCAAAGUGGGGGACCUUCGGGCCUCAUGCCAUCAGAUGUGCCCAGAUGGGAUUAGCUAGUAGGUGGGGUAACGGCUCACCUAGGCGACGAUCCCUAGCUGGUCUGAGAGGAUGACCAGCCACACUGGAACUGAGACACGGUCCAGACUCCUACGGGAGGCAGCAGUGGGGAAUAUUGCACAAUGGGCGCAAGCCUGAUGCAGCCAUGCCGCGUGUGUGAAGAAGGCCUUCGGGUUGUAAAGCACUUUCAGCGGGGAGGAAGGCGAUAAGGUUAAUAACCUUGUCGAUUGACGUUACCCGCAGAAGAAGCACCGGCUAACUCCGUGCCAGCAGCCGCGGUAAUACGGGGGUGCAAGCGUUAAUCGGAAUUACUGGGCGUAAAGCGCACGCAGGCGGUCUGUCAAGUCGGAUGUGAAAUCCCCGGGCUCAACCUGGGAACUGCAUUCGAAACUGGCAGGCUAGAGUCUUGUAGAGGGGGGUAGAAUUCCAGGUGUAGCGGUGAAAUGCGUAGAGAUCUGGAGGAAUACCGGUGGCGAAGGCGGCCCCCUGGACAAAGACUGACGCUCAGGUGCGAAAGCGUGGGGAGCAAACAGGAUUAGAUACCCUGGUAGUCCACGCCGUAAACGAUGUCGAUUUGGAGGUUGUGCCCUUGAGGCGUGGCUUCCGGAGCUAACGCGUUAAAUCGACCGCCUGGGGAGUACGGCCGCAAGGUUAAAACUCAAAUGAAUUGACGGGGGCCCGCACAAGCGGUGGAGCAUGUGGUUUAAUUCGAUGCAACGCGAAGAACCUUACCUGGUCUUGACAUCCACAGAACUUUCCAGAGAUGGAUUGGUGCCUUCGGGAACUGUGAGACAGGUGCUGCAUGGCUGUCGUCAGCUCGUGUUGUGAAAUGUUGGGUUAAGUCCCGCAACGAGCGCAACCCUUAUCCUUUGUUGCCAGCGGUUAGGCCGGGAACUCAAAGGAGACUGCCAGUGAUAAACUGGAGGAAGGUGGGGAUGACGUCAAGUCAUCAUGGCCCUUACGACCAGGGCUACACACGUGCUACAAUGGCAUAUACAAAGAGAAGCGACCUCGCGAGAGCAAGCGGACCUCAUAAAGUAUGUCGUAGUCCGGAUUGGAGUCUGCAACUCGACUCCAUGAAGUCGGAAUCGCUAGUAAUCGUAGAUCAGAAUGCUACGGUGAAUACGUUCCCGGGCCUUGUACACACCGCCCGUCACACCAUGGGAGUGGGUUGCAAAAGAAGUAGGUAGCUUAACCUUCGGGAGGGCGCUUACCACUUUGUGAUUCAUGACUGGGGUG
rnacentral:rRNA from 1 species